GGGGACGUAGCUCAGUUGGGAGAGCGCCGGCUUUGCAAGCCAGAGGUCGUGGGUUCGAAUCCCAUCGUCUCCA
rnacentral:tRNA from 1 species